rnacentral:rRNA from 1 species
UACGGAGGGUGCAAACGUUGUUCGGAAUUACUGGGCGUAAAGGGCGCGUAGGCGGCCUGCUAAGUCGAACGUGAAAUCUCCGAGCUUAACUCGGAAAGGUCAACUGAUACUGUGCGGCUAGAGUGCAGAAGGGGCAACUGGAAUUCUCGGUGUAGCGGUGAAAUGCGUAGAUAUCGAGAGGAACACCUGCGGCGAAGGCGGGUUGCUGGGCUGACACUGACGCUGAGGCGCGAAAGCUAGGGGAGCGAACGGG